CAACCCACGGAGCUAUCUGACCAC
rnacentral:siRNA from 1 species